rnacentral:rRNA from 1 species
CUUGACCUCAAAUCGAGUAGGACUACCCGCUGAACUUAAGCAUAUCAAUAAGCGGAGGAAAAGAAACUAACAAGGAUUCCCCUAGUAACGGCGAGUGAAGAGGGAAGAGCUCAAAUUUUAAAUCUGGCGUCUUUGGCGUCCGAAUUGUAAUCUAGAGAAGUGUUUUCCGUGACGGACCGUGCAUAAGUCUCCUGGAAUGGAGUGUCAUAGAGGGUGAGAAUCCCGUAUAUGGCACGGACUCCCGUUGCUCUGUGAUACACUCUCGACGAGUCGAGUUGUUUGGGAAUGCAGCUCUAAAUGGGUGGUAAAUGCCAUCUAAAGCUAAAUAUUGGCGAGAGACCGAUAGCGAACAAGUACCGUGAGGGAAAGAUGAAAAGCACUUUGGAAAGAGAGUGAAACAGUACGUGAAAUUGUUGAAAGGG